rnacentral:rRNA from 1 species
UGGGGAAUCUUCCGCAAUGGACGAAGGUCUGACGGAGCAACGCCGCGUGUAUGAUGAAGGUCUUCGGAUUGUAAAGUACUGUCAUUGGGGAAGAACGGUUUUCUUGAAAAGAUUGAGAAGACAUGACGGUACCCAAGGAGGAAGCCCCGGCUAACUACGUGCCAGCAGCCGCGGUAAUACGUAGGGGGCAAGCGUUGUCCGGAAUUAUUGGGCGUAAAGGGCGCGUAGGCGGGCCUUUAAGUCCGGUGUGAAAGAUCAGGGCUCAACCCUGAGAGUGCAUCGGAAACUGGAGGCCUUGAGGACAGGAGAGGAAAGUGGAAUUCCACGUGUAGCGGUGAAAUGCGUAGAUAUGUGGAGGAACACCAGUGGCGAAGGCGACUUUCUGGACUGUAACUGACGCUGAGGCGCGAAAGCGUGGGGAGCAAACAGGAUUAGAUACCCUGGUAGUCCACGCCGUAAACGAUGAGUGCUAGGUGUAGAGGGUAUCGACCCCUUCUGUGCCGCAGUUAACACAAUAA